AAUCAACGCUGGCGGCGUGCCUAACACAUGCAAGUCGAACGCGAAAGCCCGCAAGGGUAAGUAGAGUGGCGCACGGGUGAGUAACACGUGGACAACCUGCCUUCGAGUGGGGAAUAACCUUCCGAAAGGAGGGCUAAUACCGCAUAACACCUCGGGACACAAGUUUCUGGGGUUGAAAAGAGCAAUUUGCUCGAAGAGGGGUCCGCGCCUGAUUAGCUAGUUGGUGAGGUAACGGCUCACCAAGGCUUCGAUCAGUAGCCGUCCUGAGAGGGAGCACGGCCACACUGGAACUGAGACACGGUCCAGACUCCUACGGGAGGCAGCAGUGGGGAAUUUUGGCAAUGGGCGAAAGCCUGACCAAGCAACGCCGCGUGGGUGAUGAAGUAUCUUGGUACGUAAAACCCUUUCGGCAGGGACGAACCUAAUGACGGUACCUGCGGAAGAAGCCCCGGCUAACUCCGUGCCAGCCGCCGCCGU
rnacentral:rRNA from 1 species